rnacentral:rRNA from 1 species
AGGCGUUCGGGUGAACUGUGGUUAAGGAAUUCGGCAAAAUGCCCCCGUAACUUCGGGAGAAGGGGGGCCCUACGAUGUGAGCACUCUUGCGGUGUUAAGCGUUGUGGGGUCGCAGAGAAUAGAGGGAAGCGACUGUUUAUCAAAAACACAGGUCCGUGCGAAGUCGUAAGACGAUGUAUACGGACUGACUCCUGCCCGGUGCUGGAAGGUUAAGAGGACCGGUUAGUAGUCUUUGACUGCGAAGCUGAGAAUUUAAGCCCCAGUAAACGGCGGUGGUAACUAUAACCAUCCUAAGGUAGCGAAAUUCCUUGUCGGGUAAGUUCCGACCUGCACGAAUGGCGUAACGACCUCCCCACUGUCUCCAGCAUGGGCUCAGCGAAAUUGAAUUCCCCGUGAAGAUGCGGGGUACCCGCGGUCAGACGGAAAGACCCUAUGAACCUUUACUGCAACUUCGCAGUGGCGCCAGGAAGGGACUGUGUAGGAUAGGUGGGAGGCUUUGAAGCCGGGGCGCUAGCUUUGGUGGAGCCAACCUUGAAAUACCACCCUGUGCCUUUCUGGCGUCUAACUGAGCCCCGUUAUCCGGGGCCAGGACCCUGCGUGGUGGGCAGUUUGACUGGGGCGGUCGCCUCCCAAAUGGUAACGGAGGCGCGCGAUGGUGGGCUCAAGCCGGUCGGACAUCGGCUGUUGAGUGCAAAGGCACAAGCCCGCCUGACUGUGAGCGCGACAGCGCGAACAGAGACGAAAGUCGGCCUUAGUGAUCCGGUGGUCCCGCGUGGAAGGGCCAUCGCUCAACGGAUAAAAGGUACUCUAGGGAUAACAGGCUGAUCUCCCCCAAGAGUCCACAUCGACGGGGAGGUUUGGCACCUCGAUGUCGGCUCAUCGCAUCCCGGGGCUGGAGCAGGUCCCAAGGGUUCGGCUGUUCGCCGAUUAAAGCGGUACGUGAGCUGGGUUUAGAACGUCGUGAGACAGUUCGGUCCCUAUCUGCCGUGGGUGUAGGAGACUUGCGAGGAUCUGUCCCUAGUACGAGAGGACCGGGAUGGACGUACCUCUGGUGUACCAGUUGUUCCGCCAGGAGCAUCGCUGGGUAGCUAAGUGCGGACGGGAUAACUGCUGAAGGCAUCUAAGCAGGAAACCCCCCUCUAAACGAGGUCUCCCUCGAGGGCCGUGAUAGACCAUCACGUCGAUAGGCCGCAGGUGGAAGUCGGGUAACCGACGCAGCCGAGCGGUCCUAAUCGCCCGAUAGAGCUCAUAUC